UACGUAGGCAGCGAGCGUUGUUCGGAGUUACUGGGCGUAAAGGGUGUGUAGGCGGUUGUUUAAGUUUGGUGUGAAAUCUCCCGGCUCAACUGGGAGGGUGCGCCGAAUACUGAGCGACUAGAGUGCGGGAGAGGAAAGUGGAAUUCCUGGUGUAGCGGUGAAAUGCGUAGAUAUCAGGAGGAACACCGGUGGUGUAGACGGCUUUCUGGACCAUAACUGACGCUGAGGCACGAAAGCGUGGGUAGCAAACAGG
rnacentral:rRNA from 1 species